GAAAUGCGAUAAGUAAUGUGAAUUGCAGAAUUCAGUGAAUCAUCGAAUCUUUGAACGCACAUUGCACCCCCUGGUAUUCCGGGGGGCAUGCCUGUUCGAGCGUCAUUUCACCACUCAAGCCUCGCUUGGUAUUGGGCGACGCGGUCCGCCGCGCGCCUCAAAUCGACCGGCUGGGUCUUUCGUCCCCUCAGCGUUGUGGAAACUAUUCGCUAAAGGGUGCCGCGGGAGGCUACGCCGUAAAACAACCCCAUUUCUAAGGUUGACCUCGGAUCAGGUAGGGAUACCCGCUGAACUUAAGC
rnacentral:misc_RNA from 1 species